rnacentral:lncRNA from 1 species
AUAAAUAAAAGAUUAUAAAGUCAUUUAGGGUUUAUGUUGAGUUUUGUCUGGUAUUAGGAACCAUUAGGAGUUUUGGGAGAGAUUGACCUACCUCUUGAAUUGUAGGUCAGGAUUGAUUGUUUGUUUUCUUUUGAUUUAAUCAAUAAAAGUCAGCCCUAAUUUAGCCCUAAGUCCUAUCAAAGUGGUAUCAGAGCAAGAAUCCUGAGACAAUGGCAGCGAAGAAGGUGGACGCG